ACAUGCCUACAACAUAACAUUAAUGCAUCAGAUCCCAUUAGAACUCCACAGUUAAGCAUGCUCAGACUAGAGUAGUACUAGGAUGCGUGACUCUCUGGGGAGUCCUAGUGUUUUACAUGCA
rnacentral:rRNA from 1 species